GGCUCUGGUCAACAGUAGUGUUCUAUAUAGGGAAUAGGGCUCUGGUCAACAGUAGUGUUCUGAAUAGGGCUCUGGUCAACAGUAGUGUUCUAUAUAGGGAAUAGUGCUCUGGUCAACAGUAGUGUUCUAUAUAGGGAAUAGGGCUCUGGUCAACAGUAGUGUUCUAUAUAGGGAAUAGGGCUCUGGUCAACAGUAGACACACCACAUCAAACACACUGGGUCGUUAAAAUGCAGUCAUAAAUAGAGAUUCUGAUUAUACAGCACUUCUCCAGUGAGGACUGGCCCGCCCGGAGGUGGAGCAUAUUGAACUGGCCCGCCCGGAGGUGGAGCGUAUUGAACUGGCCCGCCCGGAGGUGGAGCGUAUUGAACUGGCCCGCCCGGAGGUGGAGCGUAUUGAACUGGCCCGCCCGGAGGUGGAGCGUAUUGAACUGGCCCGCCCGGAGGUGGAGCGUAUUGAACUGGCCCGCCCGGAGGUGGAGCGUAUUGAACUGGCCCGCCCGGAGGUGGAGCUUAUUGAACUGGCCCGC